rnacentral:lncRNA from 1 species
AUACUUACCUGUCACAAUCUGUGUCUCUAAUCUGCUGAAGACACUAUGGGAAUAGAUAUUUUGGGGCACGGUUAUAUCUUUGAAUAAUAUUUUCUCCAUCUAGAUGAAUAGAGCACCAGGUAACAUGAACAAUCCCAUUGUCUGAUAUGAAGUAAAUGUUGAUAAGUAGCCUUAAGUCCAAACAGGUAAGACUCAAACUAUGUUUUCUGGCUCUGGGGUGGAGGCCUUUGCAAUUUAAAAAACGACUCCUUAUGGCUAGGAAUAAGUGAUUGCUUGUCUGAUAUAUUUUUCUUCCAGUCUGUUGCAAAAAUCUCCCAAUUAUUAAUUUAGCUUAUGGUAUGGGGACUUUGACCCUAAGUUAAGAUUCAGUCAAUAUCCUUAGGAGAGGUAAAAAUACUACAAGUCAUUUAUUCAUUAGUGCAGGGCAACCACAUAAAAUACAGGAGAACCAGUUAUAUUUGAGUUUCAAAUAAGCAAUGACAAAUUUUAGUAUAAAUUAUAGUAAAAGUAUGUCCCAAAUGUGGCAUGGAACAUACUUACACUAAAACAUUAUUUGUUCUUCAUCUGCAAUUCAAAUUUAACUGGAUGUCCUGUAUUUGUUAAGUCUGAUAUGAAUGAGAUGAUCAAGAUAUUUUUUGAGAAGGACAGGGGAAGAAGAAAACAUGAGGAUAUUGGACUCCUGUGAGAAAUAAAGAUGAGCAAGUUGGG